GGGGGGGGGCUGGCUGACGGGCUGCUUGAUCCGGUCUUCGUCGCCGGUGCAGCGGUUCUUCUCCGGACUCCUUCGCCGGAUGUUGUUCUGGACGACCAGCGGGCGUUGCUGGCUUCGUUCGGGCAGGCGUCUUCCCUCCUUGACGAAUCGGCACGCUCCGGAGUCCACCGAUUCGAGCGUGCCGAGAGGGGUCCCUCCUUGACGAUGAAGGCCAGCGGCCUGAGGGUUGUCGUCCUUUACGGGGAGGCGCCAGACAACAGGGGGUGGUCCUACGACGAUUAGACGUAGGCAGAGCGCGACGCGACUUAUACUGCCUAGGCCGACCAAUCCGGGUGAACGCGCGCUCACGGAACCUCCUGGUCCCGCACUUCCGCGUGAAGGCAGUUGGCAACCUUCACUCCAACGAGCGCGAACUGUCCACUCGGACGCCUGUAGAUUAAAAGAGGCCGAUCCUCCCCAGAUCGGCGCUUUUAUUGUUGAUCCCAAGUCCAGGAUUUCCCCAUCCAUUUUCCCGCUCUGUCGCAUGGGCGCUGCCAUGCUGCCCCAUCGGGAAAUAGAUGGACAUCGGCUUCACUUACAGCGGCACGCUUCACCCCUUUCCAACUGUCAAGUGUGGUGAAUGUGUAAUAAAAAUACUGAAGCGAAGCAUGAAUUCGUUAAGGAUUGUGACCAACGGUUACACUAUCCACUACCCCGGCGAAAAAAUGUGAAGGCACGAAGUGAAUGAACAUUUUUUUAAGCGAAAUGCAUUUCCAAAAUCGUUUUCAGCACUCCUCGGGUUCGCAGACUUGUGUAAGUGGUCACUUGUUUAUGUACAAGCCUCAUUGUAGGCACAUUUCUGCGUGUCCUAGUGACAAUCAAUCUCAAAGUUUAUUGAAAUUAUUCAAAAUAUUGAAAAAGUUGGCAUAGCAAACAAAUACAAAUAAAUAAAUUAAAAUUUAGACAUGCACUACAAUUUAAAAUAAAUUAUUAAAAAGAAUCCCAAAAUAUUAGUAGACAACUCUAUUUACAAUUUUACAUAAGCGUUCUUCAACGACUUCAACUUCCAUGGACUAUGCGCAUUUAAUCCAAUUUUAGAUCACAUUCGAUCAUAUUCGGAAGUUCACCACAAGGGUUCAUUCCUGACGGGUCAACUGUCUGACAGUUCCCGAAACGUCUCUAAUCUGUCAAAGGUCAGCAUAUCGCAUUGUUUACAUUGCGUAUAUGUGAAAGUGUAUUCAGGGUAAUUUUGACUAGUAUUGGUGGGCCACAGAGGGCAAAAUAGUGCGUGGAAGAUCGCUGCCAGGAACGCAGUCUUUUUCUAAAGACUGGCCUGCAGGAGUCCACUGAAAAUCCCGGGAUUCACCAUGAUAGCCAUCUUGACGCGCAAGAUCAGCUACAGGUCGACUGAUCCCCUCACCACUACACCACCAGCCGCGCUCAGACCGAGGGUUAUUAAUUUUCGCCCCUUGGUCAUCCACGAACUGGCCCGUUGGGCUAUGGAUCAUCGAUAACAAUGAUAUCGUCCACC